ensembl:lncRNA
AGGUCUGUGAAGAAGGGACACAGCACAUUGGCUUCCACUCAGCCUGGCACAGCAGUCCUCCCCAGCUACGCUGCCCAAGCAAGAGAGCUGCUGGUACUUACGUAGAUCAUCCAGGCUGCAUAACGCUCUUUGAGGUUGUACAGCACAGCGGGUUCAUGGAGUCUUGACAGUGACCUUCCCUGUUUCCCUGCUCUGGAUUGUCCCUUUCACAAAGGAUUCCUUUGGAUGGGCCACAAAGACUGAUGACUUGGCAUCAAAAGGCUUGUUCUGGGCCUCGAUUCUUUCCUUCUCUGACUUUCGGAGGUAGGGAGCUGCCUCUCCAAAGACAGCCAUCUCAGCAUCUGAAGAAGCCAUGGCUGCUCUUCACUGAAGAUACCUCAGCAGAAUACUCUAAUGGGGAGAAGUAAUGUGGCACAGAUCAUUUAGAUAUAUUCUGUAAGACUGGGAGACUGACUGUGUCUUUUUUUUUCUUCAACCGGUACUAUAUGGAGUAGCUAACGUAUCCUACUGGAAGAUAUGAUUGACUUAGGAAACAAGAGGUCAUAACUGAUGCAGUCUAGGUGUCUAGACUUCUAGAAGAGCAACAUCUGAUCACCUUUCACAAUUGUAGGCUUGGGGCUUUAAGAACAUCGUGUCUGUAAGAUGAGUGAAGUAGCUGAGCAAGAUUUAUUUUAAGACAUCAUUACUAGCAGUUGAAAUAAAGGUGGAGCAUUUUGUUUAAAGAUGGAGAAACAUUUCUAAAAACAUGUAGUAUAAAAGAACUACAAUCUUGAAAAACAUUGAAUCUAUGGGGCAUUUACUUAUCAACUAUAAUCGUAACAGGAAGGCAGUGGAAAUUAAUGAAUUUUGCUACUGAAGUUGCCAGCAGAAAGAAAAGGGCAGGAUCUGUGACCUUUUAAUACUCUGCUGUAAUUUAAUUUGUUUAUACAUUUGUCAUUCAUGAGUACAAUAUCCAAAUAGUCUCAUCUUCAAAGUUCUGACUUGUAUGAAACAAAAUUCAUGUGCUGAAAUUGGAAUUGCCAUGCCUGUAUGGAGCUCCCAAAUAAAUACUUACUGAAAAGAUCCAGG